UAUAAAUGAGACCUGUGUGCCCAGUUCUCUUUUUCAUCAAAGCCCAUCAGCCUUUCUCAAUGCCUAGCUCUCCCCUUGACAGCCCUGCAAGCUCCCUGAGCCAGACAGGUGUGGGCAAAGGCACCAUCUAAGCUCCACGUGGAUAAGCCUGCUUGGCAGGGGCAGCAAAACCCUAUAUUCUGAAACAGGGCCAACCCAUUACCAGUCCUCAGUAAUGCAAUGGAUUUCUCCAGUGGUGUUUUGAGGCCUAAGGGAUUGUGAAGAGAAGAUGAUGGAGCAACAAGCUAAGAAAGAGAGAAAAGGUACACAGAAUGGCAAGCUGAAUCAGAAUGGUGCCUUUGUGAGCUUUUUGGACAUUUAGAAGAAGGAGUUGAGCUGAACUACACAAGCCCUCAGGAAGCCCCUCCCUGACAGAGUUAUAGAUGCCCUGAGAGAAUCUUACGAUGAUAUUACUAAUCGAG
rnacentral:lncRNA from 1 species